AACGAACGCUGGCGGCAUGCCUAACACAUGCAAGUCGAACGAUGCCUUCGGGCAUAGUGGCGCACGGGUGCGUAACGCGUGGGAAUCUGCCUUUCGGUUCGGAAUAACUCAGGGAAACUUGAGCUAAUACCGGAUAACGUCGCAAGACCAAAGAUUUAUCACCGAAAGAUGAGCCCGCGUAGGAUUAGCUAGUUGGUGAGGUAAAGGCUCACCAAGGCGACGAUCCUUAGCUGGUCUGAGAGGAUGAUCAGCCACACUGGGACUGAGACACGGCCCAGAAUCCUACGGGAGGCAGCAGUGGGGAAUAUUGGACAAUGGGCGAAAGCCUGAUCCAGCUAUGCCGCGUGAGUGAUGAAGGCCUUAGGGUUGUAAAGCUCUUUUACCCGGGAAGAUAAUGACGGUACCGGGAGAAUAAGCCCCGGCUAACUCCGUG
rnacentral:rRNA from 1 species